GAUGAACGCUGGCGGCGUGCCUAAUACAUGCAAGUCGAGCGAACAGACGAGGAGCUUGCUCCUUUGACGUUAGCGGCGGACGGGUGAGUAACACGUGGGUAACCUACCUAUAAGACUGGGAUAACUUCGGGAAACCGGAGCUAAUACCGGAUAAUAUUUCGAACCGCAUGGUUCGAUAGUGAAAGAUGGCUUUGCUAUCACUUAUAGAUGGACCUGCGCCGUAUUAGCUAGUUGGUAAGGUAACGGCUUACCAAGGCAACGAUACGUAGCCGACCUGAGAGGGGGAUAGGCGACAUGAGAACUGAGACGCGGUCCAGACGCCUGAGGGAGGCAGCAGUAGGGAAUCGGCCGCAAUAGGCGAGAGCCUGACGGAGCAACGCCGAGUGAGUGAUGAAGGUCUUCGGAGCGGAAAAAUGGGUUAUUAGUGAAGAAUAAACGUGUAAGUAACUGUGCACGGCUUGACGGUAACUAAUCAGAAAGCAACGGCUAACUACGUG
rnacentral:rRNA from 1 species